rnacentral:rRNA from 1 species
UUGACCUCAAAUCGGGUGAGACUACCCGCUGAACUUAAGCAUAUCAAUAAGCCG